rnacentral:lncRNA from 10 species
AGCCAGUGCCAGUGGUGGGUUUGAGCAGGGAACCAGCAACCAGUGGUGGGUUUGAGCAGGGAACCAGCAAUACUCAAGCUCUGCUUGGAUGGAGGCCAGUCAGGGAGGAGUUAGGGCAGGAGGACCAGUCAGGGAGGAGACUUAGGGCAGGAGGACCAGUCAGGGAGGAGACUUAGGGCAGGAGGACCGGUCAGGGAGGAGACUUAGGGCAGGAGUACUGGUCAGGGAGGAGACUUAGGGCAGGAGGACCGGUCAGGGAGGAGACUUAGGGCAGGAGGACCGGUCAGGGAGGAGACUUAGGGCAGGAGGACCGGUCAGGGAGGAGUUAGGGCUGGAGGACGGGUCAGGGAGGAGACUUAGGGCAGGAGGACCGGUCAGGGAGGAGUUAGGGCUGGAGGACCGGUCAGGGAGGAGUUAGGGCAGGAGGACUGGUCAGGGAGGAGACUUAGGGCAGGAGGACCGGUCAGGGAGGAGACUUAGGGCAGGAGGACCGGUCAGGGAGGAGACUUAGGGCAGGAGGACUGGUCAGGGAGGAGACUUAGGGCAGGAGGACAGGUCAGGGAGGAGUUAGGGCUGGAGGACGGGUCAGGGAGGAGUUAGGGCUGGAGGACCGGUCAGGGAGGAGUUAGGGCAGGAGGACAGGUCAGGGAGGAGUUAGGGGAGGAGGACCGGUCAGGGAGGAGUUAGGGCAGGGGGAUUGGUCAGGGAGGAGUUAGGGCAGGGGGAUUGGUCAGGGAGGAGUUAGGGCAGGAGGACCGGUCAGGGAGGAGUUAGGGCAGGAGGACCGGUCAGGGAGGAGACUUAGGGCAGGAGGACUGGUCAGGGAGGAGUUAGGGCAGGAGGACCGGUCAGGGAGGAGUUAGGGCAGGAGGACCGGUCAGGGAGGAGACUUAGGGCAGGAGGACCGGUCAGGGAGGAGACUUAGGGCAGGAGGACUGGUCAGGGAGGAGUUAGGGCAGGAGGACCGGUCAGGGAGGAGUUAGGGCAGUAGGACCGGUCAGGGAGGAGUUAGGGCUGGAGGACUGGUCAGGGAGGAGUUAGGGCUGGAGGACAGGUCAGGGAGGAGUUAG